rnacentral:rRNA from 1 species
UACGUGAAACCGUUCAGGAGUAAACCUGAGAAGCCCGAAAGAUCGAACGAGAAGAUUCAUGCGUGAAUCGGAUGCGCAAUGUAAUCUCUAACAAUUUAGCAGCGUUAAUUCGUUGUUGUUGUUGUGUUAAGUUAGUGCUCCGAACGCGUGCACUUCUUCUCCGGUAGGACGUUGCGACUCGUUGGGUGCCGAUCUAAGGCCCGGUGUGGAGCCCAUUGUUUUGUGCCUUGCGCAUCUAACGGUGGACCACUGGACGCCCGAUCGGCCCGCUCGACGGUAUUGAGAUGGCGCGGUGCCGCGACUUGUUCGCGUCCAACCCGUCACAAGCGCGCACGGCUACCAGGAUGUACGGAACUUAAUGUAGCCGUUGCCUGGCCCGUGCGACUGUUGGUGGCGGUGUUCUUGGGCAGACACCGACACGCCUGUCAGCGACGCUACUGUUUUGGGCAAUUUCAGGACCCGUCUUGAAACACGGACCAAGGAGUCUAGCAUGUGCGCAAGUCAUUGGGACUUGCAAACCCCACAGGCACAAUGAAAGUAAAAAUGCGUCGCACCUACGGGUGCGCGUAUCCAGGGUAGAUGGGCCGUGCAUCGUCGCGGCCCCGCAUACCCGGGGCGUCUCAAUAUCUCAUUGCGAGAUGAGGCGCACCUAGAGCGUACAUGCUGGGACCCGAAAGAUGGUGAACUAUGCCUGGUCAGGACGAAGUCAGGGGAAACCCUGAUGGAGGUCCGAAGCGAUUCUGACGUGCAAAUCGAUCGUCGGAACUGGG